GAGGAUUUAGCUCAGUGGAAGAGCACUUGCCUGGCAAGUACAAGGCCCUGAGUUAAGUCCUCA
rnacentral:tRNA from 1 species